rnacentral:hammerhead_ribozyme from 1 species
AUCCAGCUGACGAGUCGCAAAUAAGACGAAACGCGCGUCCUGGAU